UUGUUUGUUUGUGAGGGGGAUUCCUUAGAAGAGAGGAGCUUGCGAAAGGAGCUCUUCUCUAUGCUAGGCUGCUUCCCAGACUGCUGUAAUGGAUGCAAGUGACGCAAUAGGCGUUCCUCACGUCCAUGCUGGCAGUCUGAGCAGAGGCUUUCCACUGGGAGGAGCUAUUUUGCUGAACUCCGGUUUUUGUUUUGUUUUCUUUUGUUUUUUGGAUGAUUGCCGUGGGCUGAAGUGGGCGUCCCAAGGGGUGGAGUGUGCAUGGAUUCAGCACUGCAACACCUUCAGAGGGGAUGCACGCUCCGGGGAGAGAUGCAGACCAACCACUCUGCCGAGAAAUGCUAAGGAAUCCUCCCCAUUGUCUCCUUCCUUGGGACCUUGAAACCAGGAGAGAAUUUCACGGAUCUCUUAGCAAAUCCACCGGUUAGGACACGUGAGAGCUGCAAGGAGAGGGAAGUCUCACAGCCUCAUUCUCCCUUCAGCACUGUGGAGAACAAGGAAGGAUGAACUGCUGACCGUGCAAGGUGCCAAUUAGCUCAGGAUAUCAGGGUUUUCAGUGUUCCCUAAGGAGGCAGUGGGGCAGGGAAUACCAACCUUGAAGAUGUGAACCUGUGGCUUGAUAUAUUGUUCUAUAGCUAAGAUUUUUGUAAACCACUUUGGGAGGUUCACCUGGAAGCAGUGAAUAAAUGCAAAAACAUAAAAUAAAAUAGAAUGAAAUAAAAUAAAACCAGUUUGGUGACAAGGCACUUUAAGGAAUGCUGCCCCCUCCCCCCAUAUGAGGCUCCUUGCCCAUGACGCUCCUCAGAGGAGACCCUUUGACAUGCUCCUUUGACAUGCCCCUUUGACAUGCUCCUUUGACAUGCUCCUUUGACCCUUU